rnacentral:rRNA from 1 species
ACUCGUAAGAAGUUUCGAACGCUGGACGGCAUGCUUUCACAUGCAAGUCGGACGGCGAGCACAGAGAAGUCGUUGUCUUCGUUGGGUCGGCGAGGUCGGCGGAACGGGUGAAGUAACAUAUACGGAACGGUACCGGGCAGUGGGGAUAACUAAUCGAAAGAUUAGCUAAUACCGCAUAUUUCUGAGGAGAAAGCAGGGGACCAUUUGGCCUUGCGCUGUUUGAGCGGCCGAUAUCUGAUUAGCUAGUUGGUGGGGUAAAGGCCUACCAAGGCGACGAUCAGUAGCGGGUCUGAGAGGAUGAUCCGCCACACUGGGACUGAGACACGGCCCAGACUCCUACGGGAGGCAGCAGUGGGAAUUUUGGACAAUGGGCGCAAGCCUGAUCCAGCCAUGCCGCGUGUCUGAAGAAGGCCUUCGGGUUGUAAAGGACUUUUGUCAGGGAAGAAAAGGGCGGGGUUAAUACCCCUGUCUGAUGACGGUACCUGAAGAAUAAGCACCGGCUAACUACGUG